AUUGCAGAAUCCCGUGAACCAUCGAGUUUUUGAACGCAAGUUGCGCCCGAAGCCUUCUGGCCGAGGGCACGUCUGCCUGGGCGUCACGCAUCGUAGCCCCCUGCACCCACCUAGUGGGCGGUUGGGAAGGCGACGUUGGCCUCCCGUGAGAACAAUCUUGCGGUU
rnacentral:rRNA from 1 species